GCCGAUAUAGUUUAAUGGCAAAAUGGAGCCAUGGUAAGGCUCAGCUCCCAGUUCAAUCCUGGGUAUCGGCACCA
rnacentral:tRNA from 1 species